rnacentral:rRNA from 1 species
CAGCAGCCACGGUAAUACGAAGGGGGCUAGCGUUGUUCGGAAUUACUGGGCGUAAAGGGCGCGUAGGCGGCCAUUCAAGUUAGAUGUGAAAGCCCUGGGCUCAACCUAGGAAUUGCAUCUGAUACUGUUUGGCUUGAGUUCGGGAGAGGUGAGUGGAAUUCCCAGUGUAGAGGUGAAAUUCGUAGAUAUUGGGAAGAACACCAGUGGCGAAGGCGGCUCACUGGACGCGUAUUGACGCUGAGGUGCGAAAGCGUGGGGAGCAAACAGGAUUAGAUACCCGCGUAGUCCCUGUCUCUUAUAA